rnacentral:tRNA from 1 species
GGGAACGUAGCUCAGUAGUAGAGUGCUUGCCUUGCAUGCAUGAGGCCCUGGGUUCAACUCCCCGGUACUA